GAUGAACGCUGGCGGCGUGCCUAAUACAUGCAAGUCGAGCGAACGGACGAGAAGCUUGCUCCUCUGAUGUUAGCGGCGGACGGGUGAGUAACACGUGGAUAACCUACCUAUAAGACUGGGAUAACUUCGGGAAACCGUAGCUAAUACCGGAUAAUAUUUUGAACCGCAUGGUUCAAUAGUGAAAGACGGUCUUGCUGUCACUUAUAGAUGGAUCCGCGCUGCAUUAGCUAGUUGGUAAGGUAACGGCUUACCAAGGCAACGAUGCAUAGCCGACCUGAGAGGGGUGUCCGCCAACACGGAAAUGAGGCAACGUCCAAGAUCCUAAGGGGAGCAGCAGGAGGGAAACCUCCGCAAUGGGCGGAAGGCUGAACGAGCAAAGGCGCGUGGGUGGAGGAGGUUUUCGGAUCGGAAAACCCUGUUAAUAAGGAAAGAAAAAUGUGGAAGUUACUGAGCACAGCUUGGCGGGUACCAAUCAGGAAAGCAAGGCUAAACUAGGU
rnacentral:rRNA from 1 species